rnacentral:rRNA from 1 species
GAUGAACGCUGGCGGCGUGCCUAAUACAUGCAAGUCGAGCGAACAGACGAGGAGCUUGCUCCUCUGACGUUAGCGGCGGACGGGUGAGUAAAACGUGGAUAACCUACCUAUAAGACUGGGAUAACUUCGGGAAACCGGAGCUAAUACCGGAUAAUAUAUUGAACCGCAUGGUUCAUUAGUGAAAGACGGUUUUGCUGUCACUUACAGAUGGAUCCGCGCCGCAUUAGCUAGUUGGUAAGGUAACGGCUUACCAAGGCAACGAUGCGUAGCCGACCUGAGAGGGUGAUCGGCCACACUGGAACUGAGACACGGUCCAGACUCCUACGGGAGGCAGCAGUAGGGAAUCUUCCGCAAUGGGCGAAAGCCUGACGGAGCAACGCCGCGUGAGUGAUGAAGGUCUUCGGAUCGUAAAACUCUGUUAUUAGGGAAGAACAAAUGUGUAAGUAACUAUGCACGUCUUGACGGUACCUAAUCAGAAAGCCACGGCUAACUACGUG